rnacentral:rRNA from 1 species
UGCAAGUCGAGGGGCAGCGGGAUUGAAGCUUGCUUCAAUUGCCGGCGACCGGCGCACGGGUGAGUAACGCGUAUCCAACCUUCCGCUUACUCGGGGAUAGCCUUUCGAAAGAAAGAUUAGUACCCGAUGGUAUCUUAAGCACGCAUGAGAUUAAGAUUAAAGAUUUAUCGGUAAGCGAUGGGGAUGCGUUCCAUUAGGCAGUUGGCGGGGUAACGGCCCACCAAACCUACGAUGGAUAGGGGUUCUGAGAGGAAGGUCCCCCACAUUGGAACUGAGACACGGUCCAAACUCCUACGGGAGGCAGCAGUGAGGAAUAUUGGUCAAUGGGCGAGAGCCUGAACCAGCCAAGUAGCGUGAAGGAUGACGGCCCUACGGGUUGUAAACUUCUUUUGUGCGGGAAUAAAGGAACCUACGUGUAGGUUUUUGCUUGUACCGAAACGAAUAAGCCUCGGCUAACUCCGUGCCAGCAGCCGCGG